CUCGGAAGCCAAGAAGCAGUAGGAGGGGAUGAAAAUCAUGCAGGGCAGUGGGUGCGAGAGUGGAGCGGUGACUGUCGGUGUUAACUCCGUCUCUGUGCGUCGAGUGGGGCCGAUGUGGAUGGGAUGAAAGAGUGAGGCAGGGCUGAGGGCAAGAUUUCCAGCACCCAUCGAGCUUUGUGGAGUGAUGGCUCAUGCUUGGCUUUUGCAGCUGCUUUCGCAGAGGAAUUGUCCAGGAGCCCUAGCCGGAGGAGAAUAUGGCAGGAGUGGACCUGAGCAGCUUGGACAUCCUUCUAAGCAGACGUGAAGAGUCGUCAGCUUUCUGCCUCCCGCAUAACUGGCUGUGAGUAAGCGUACGAAGGAAAAAGAAGUCAAGCCUCAGAGUCUACUGCCCUCAUGCGAUGGAAAGUGAGUGAGAGCAGCGAGCUUGUGACCGUUGGUGAUGCCAGGCAAGAGCCCUCCAUCUGGGAGCCGAGCAAGCGCCAGUCUUGGUGAGAUAAGUGUCUGGUUUGGUGAAGGCUCUCUUCACGCCCCACCUGAGUCCAGGUAGAAAAGCCCUGUAAAUUAGGGUUCGGUUUGUAAGAAAAGGUUCCUGAUCAGCUGUGGUUACGAGGGAGAAAAGGUCCCAUUUUCAGAAGCUGCUCAUUUCUCUGGUCAAGAACGGUGUCUCCUCCACAGCAGAAGGUUGGAUCCAAGAGGAUGACUCCAGGUGCAAAGAGUGUUCGGCGUCAGCAUUCUUGCCCUGCCCUCAGUCUGCCAACUGGCUUGGUUGACAACGGCUGGUGAGCCAAGGAGCUGCUGAGAGACGCGGACCAUCCCUCUGUCAACAACUUCUUGAAUCAGCUAUUUGCACAGGUGUUUGAGGAACAAAAGGAUGAGUUUUUACAGAAGGUAAUUCCCAGAUUCUUUCCCUGCUCAUUAGAUCGCACACGACAGGUCGGUGCCUCCUUCUCCUCGGGACGGGUGGGGGCUGGUGUGGCAACAGGCAGGUCUCAGCGCUCCGUUUUGAUUUGAAUGUGGCCAUCUCUCAGGUCUCCUCCUGCUUCAGCCUGUCAGGUUCUUUGGAGGCAGAUUUAGAUGAUUUUAUCUUUCAGCAGACUAGUCGGGGGGAAUUUCCAGGGAUAGAACCAAAAGGGAAGAUAACAAAACUCGUGUAGAAGUUAGAUUGAUAUCUCCAUCAAUAGUAUUUCCCUUGGAGUUGCCCCUAAUGCACUCCUUGCCUUCAAGUUGGGAAUAGAAACCCUUUGUCUCCUGUCAUGACUGCCAAAGAAAUGUGUAUUGAGAGAAUAUCGAUCUCAGAAUUUACAUGAUUGAAAUGCACAUAAAUGAGCUCAAAUAAUGCAGAAGAAAUGAAUCUUAAGAUAUUGAAAGUGAUACAGCUCCACUCCCAUCCCCUGGCUGUCAUC